CACCCGAUGACUGAAAUGUAAGUGUAGGUCUUUUAAACCUAUUAUAGUACUCCGCCUACUUCGGAUGA
rnacentral:tRNA from 1 species